UGGAUAAUCUAGUCUCGUGACUGUGUCUCUAUUUUUCUGUGUAGGAGCAGGAGCUUCACGUCAGACCUCCACCAACCACAUGUUUGUUCUCUAACAGAAACUCUGUGAACCACACAGUCUUUCUGGUGGAUCAAGUUCAGCAGAAGACGAUUGAAAACCUGCAAAAACAUUUAGAUUGCCAGAGAAGUGAUGAAGACUUUCCUGAUAUUCCAGCAUCAGUUUUGAAAGAUCAAAACUGGAAAUCAUAAAGUAAAGAGGAAUGGGUCAACAGAUACU